rnacentral:rRNA from 1 species
UCGUUUAAAGCCAUUACGUCAGCAUCCUUAGCGAAAAUCAAUCACUCUGACAUCUAGACAUCGAGUCCCACUAACGUUAGCGAGCUAUCGAAAGCGGGGUAACCGUCAGAAGUCAGGUACGAGCCACGAGGGUAUCCGCUGCAAUCCUCAAUCCCGGUCACCACAUAGAUCGAGAUCAUAACACUUUCCCGAAGGAAAGCCACAUUCUCUCAAAUUUUUU